rnacentral:misc_RNA from 1 species
CUCGCUAUGGUACGCAAUGUUUCUUGAGAAGUAAAGCAGAACAACUGACUGUUUGAACAGACAUCCUGUAGAAUUGACAAUGUGGUGAAAGUAUAGCGAGGUUUUACUUGCUGUAAAAGUGUAUCUGUUCUUUUUGUGUAAAUAGGAUGUUCAAUCGAAGCACACUGUGAUAAACACCAGUGUGCAUGUCCUGUCUUGUGAUAGCAAGAAACCUAGAUUUCAUGUUCAUCAGCAGUUUAACGUGUUAUUUAGACAUAAAGAGAAGCAAACCAGUGACACAAUUCAUUUGGUCUGAAGUGGUUUUAAGCUAUAGCAAAACUGCGUUGUUUUGGUAUCCAUUACCAAUAGACACAGAAGAUUCUUCAAGUUUCUUCAUUUAUUUAGUCUUGAACAGUGGUACAAACUCUUGCAAGAAGAUACUUUAUUUUUUGUGAAUAAGAACUGACGUUCCUUAGAACAAUACAAUUUAUGAAAUGCAGCUUAUUUUGUAUUAUUUAUGAAUUUAUGUUUAGUAUUGAUAUACAUGUGUUACAAAAAAAUGUAAAAUCUUUCAAAAUGGAAGUAAAAGCUAUUACAGAU